GACCCAUUAGCUCAGUUGGUUAGAGAGUCGUGCUAAUACCGCCAAGGUGCAGGUUCCAAACCUGCAUGGGCCA
rfam:Arabis alpina cultivar Pajares scaff_64218_1_contig_2, whole genome shotgun sequence.